UACGUAGGGCGCGAGCGUUGUCCGGAAUCAUUGGGCGUAAAGAGCUCGUAGGCGGCCUGUCGCGUCUGCUGUGAAAUCCCGGGGCUUAACCCCGGGCGUGCAGUGGAUACGGGCUGGCUGGAGGCAGGCAGGGGAGAACGGAAUUCCCGGUGUAGCGGUGAAAUGCGCAGAUAUCGGGAGGAACACCGGUGGCGAAGGCGGUUCUCUGGGCCUGUACUGACGCUGAGGAGCGAAAGUGUGGGGAGCGAACAGG
rnacentral:rRNA from 1 species